UCUGGGUCUCCCUCGUUUCCUUUCCCCGGAACCCCUUAACUUGGGCGCUCGAUUCCUGGCUUCCCCUGGCGCCGAUCUCAUCUGUUGUUCAGACAUGACUGCUUGCAAGCAGACCGCAUCCACGGGCGCCGCCGCCACGUACGAGGCCGACAGCAAGUCGGCAGCAAAGAGCGAUGGAGCGGAGGAGCGGAAGCCCUCGACCAAGUGCAAGAAGGGGAAGAAGGCCAAGGGCAAGUUGGGGGUGAAGAGCGAUGGAGCGGAGAAGCCGAAGACCCAUGACCUUUCCGAUGUUACACGCGGGUUGGCGGUGAUGAGCAUUGCAACGGAGAAGUCGUUGGAUGAAGAGCUCGCCCAGCUCGCCCUGUUCACCUACCAGAACGACUUCUGGAUGGACAACUUCAAAGGCGUCUAUGACAAGCCGUCCGUAGAUGCUAUUAAAAGGAAAGCUGCUGAAAACUGGAAAUCCUUUAGCGAUUCGGACAAAGCCCCUUAUGUGGCCAUUGCACGUGUUUACAAAAUACUCAUUGCUGAGGCAAAUGAGUUCAAGAAGACACUGAAGUUGACGCUCGCGAUGACGGACAAGAUGAUGAAUCUGAAAAUGUGAACAGCCAAGAUCUCUAAGGUGUGUUUGAAUAGAAAUGUCUUGGUAGAUGGCAUAAUUACUGCAGCCAACUCCACAAAACCUGAUUCUGUCUGGGCCGCACUUGGAGGGUUGAGAUGCAGCGAUGGCUUCCUCCUCCAGUGAAGGUCUGCGGGGGGCUGUUGAGCCCUGGUAUAUCAUGCUAGCGGUCUACUGUUACUUGAAACAUAUGCGGUGAGAGAAGCACUUGCACUAGCUCCUGAUCUUAAUCUGCAAUUGUCAGGCGCUCAUCAAGGAAAUCCAUCAAGGGAGAGGCGGAAACAAUGGGGAGAUAAUCCGAGAAAUUUCCAUCACGGCGAAAGAGUUUCACUCUUGGUACUUUCAUUCAUGAAAAUAGGAAUUUUAAUUUUGAGGCUCUUUAUAUAGCCAAGUAUGCUUGUAAUCUAGCAUUAGGUCGUCAUUUGUUGUGAGGUGCUCCCCCUGACCAAGUUCUUGUACCCUUACACAUUGAUCAAUAAAGGUUACGAGAAUUCU